rnacentral:siRNA from 1 species
CCGCCACCACCACCACCAACGUC